AGUGAACGCUGGCGGUAGGCCUAACACAUGCAAGUCGAACGGCAGCACAGUAAGAGCUUGCUCUUACGGGUGGCGAGUGGCGGACGGGUGAGGAAUACAUCGGAAUCUACUUUUUCGUGGGGGAUAACGUAGGGAAACUUACGCUAGUACCGCAUACGACCUACGGGUGAAAGCAGGGGAUCUUCGGACCUUGCGCGAUUGAAUGAGCCGCUGUCGGAUUAGCUAGUUGGCGGGGUAAAGGCCCACCAAGGCGACGAUCCAUAGCUGGUCUGAGAGGAUGAUCAGCCACACUGGAGCUGAGACACGGUCCAGACUCCUACGGGAGGCAGCAGUGGGGAAUAUUGGGCAAUGGGCGCAAGUCUGAUCCAGCCAUACCGCGUGGGUGAAGAAGGCCUUCGGGUUGUAAAGCCCUUUUGUUGGGAAAGAAAAGCAGCAGGUUAAUACCCCGCUGUUCUGACGGUACCCAAAGAAUAAGCACCGGCUAACUUCGUG
rnacentral:rRNA from 1 species